rnacentral:lncRNA from 1 species
CAGAAAUCCAGGGCAACGGCAUAGACUUCAGGCCACUCAUCUCGACGCUUACAAUGCGAAUGACAUUAUUAUUAGCAACCACUGUUGUUUACUGACUGAGUUCCAAGUACUCGCUCCUGUGCUAAACAAUUAAGCGCACAUAGUUAUUUAAUUUUUCUAAGAACCCUGAAAAGUUGCUGUACUAUUACUGCUUUACAGAAGUGUAAACUGAAAACUCACAGAGGUUAAGUCACUUGCCAAAGUCCUGUAGAGAGUAAGGAUGUGUGAUAUUGACCCAAAGCCUGUAUUCGUAGCAUUUUUCUCUUCCUAUUUCUCAAAUCUGCAGAUUUCAAAUCUGUUCCCAAAGCUGCAGAGUAGCUGUGCUCCAUGACCAGAAAAUGGAUUUGGGGAGUCCAAAGCAGCAGGUGAAUAUAGCACUGCUCCAUGAAAAUUUGGUCCUAGAGGUAUAACUGGAAUUUUGCAAAUGCCACUGGAAGCAGUUACAUCAAUCCAAGGAGAAAGGAGAGUAGCAGAUGUAGAAAAUAGAAAUAUGAAGACGGAAACUGCUCUGCAGUGUUUGUCUUGCCCAGAGACAGAGUGUGCGAUCUGUAAAGGUUUUCCUGGAAAAUCUGGAUAUAAUGGAGAGACCUCGGGACUCCUGGGAGCUGUCUGGGUGCAGAAGGGUGGUUGUAUAUUGCACUCCACUUUGCAAAUGAAAUAA